UCAAAUGACAACCGGCGCGAAGCAGAGGGAACAACCCGUUUCGACAAAAGUUACCUACCUUAGCGAGAAGUUACAUGUCUCUUUGCGUCUGCGGACGUAGCUGUUUGUCAGCACGACUGCGGUCGCCCUCGGCUGGAAGCAGUGGUGUGCAGAUGUCAGCACAGACACAUCCUCCACUCCUCUGCCCCGCUCCACGUUACUACUUGCUACAUUUCCGGCGCAGCCUUUCGUAAUAAAACCUUGGGCAAAAUUAGCCGUGUCAGUUGCUGAAAAUGGCAUCCAUCUCCUCUGUCAAGUCCCCUUGGGGUGCUGCCGCGCUGCGUUCAGGGUCCUUCAGCACUUCGGCAUGAAUCCACCGGGAGUCUUGAUUCUGUACCAGAGCGACAUCUCGAGUUGUGACACAGUUCUUACAGACCAUAAUAAUCAUCAUUAUUGAGGAUCUUUAAUGCAUGUCC